GCUGGCGUGGCGCAAUCGGUAGCGCACUUGUCUUGUAAACAAGGGGUUAGGGGUUCAAGUCCCCUCGCCAGCU
rnacentral:tRNA from 1 species